GAGGUACAGCGCAUCCUGGGUCACAUCCAGGCCCCACCCCGUCCCUUCCUGGUCAGGCUGUUCAGCUGGGCGCUGCUGAGGUUCCUGAACUGCCUGUUCCUGAAUGUGCAGCUCCACAAGGGUCAGAUGAAGAUGGUCCAGAAGGCCGCCCAGGCAGGCUUGCCGCUUGUCCUCCUCUCUACUCACAAAACCCUCCUGGAUGGGAUCCUGCUGCCCUUUAUGCUGCUCUCCCAGGGCCUGGGUGUGCUCCGUGUGGCCUGGGACUCCCGC
rnacentral:lncRNA from 1 species